rnacentral:misc_RNA from 1 species
AAGUCGUAACAAGGUCUCCGUUGGUGAACCAGCGGAGGGAUCAUUAUAGAGUUAUAAAACUCCCAACCCAUGUGAACUUACCAUUGUUGCCUCGGUGGAGCCUACCCUGUAGCGAGUUACCCUGUAACGAGUUACCCUGUAUCGGUCCGCCGGUGGAUUUUUAAACUAUUGUUAUUCGUGUCAUCUGAGCGUCUUAUUUUAAUAAGUCAAAACUUUCAACAACGGAUCUCUUGGUUCUG